rnacentral:rRNA from 1 species
GACGAACGCUGGCGGCGUGCUUAACACAUGCAAGUCGAACGGAAAGGCCCUGCUUUUGUGGGGUGCUCGAGUGGCGAACGGGUGAGUAACACGUGAGUAACCUGCCCUUGACUUUGGGAUAACUUCAGGAAACUGGGGCUAAUACCGGAUAGGAGCUCCUGCUGCAUGGUGGGGGUUGGAAGGUUUCGGCGGUUGGGGAUGGACUCGCGGCUUAUCAGCUUGUUGGUGGGGUAGUGGCUUACCAAGGCUUUGACGGGUGGCCGGCCUGAGAGGGUGACUGGCCACAUUGGGACUGAGAUACGGCCCAGACUCCUACGGGAGGCAGCAGUGGGGAAUAUUGCACAAUGGGCGGAAGCCUGAUGCAGCAACGCCGCGUGCGGGAUGACGGCCUUCGGGUUGUAAACCGCUUUCGCCUGUGACGAAGCGUGAGUGACGGUAAUGGGUAAAGAAGCACCGGCUAACUACGUG